AGCUCCAGUAGCGUAUAUUAAAGUUGUUGCAGUUAAAAAGCUCGUAGUUGGAUUUCUGGCUGACCGUGUAUGGUCCGGCACCCUCAGGGUGCUGCGUACCGUCGCGCGUUUGCCAUCCUUCCGGAAAGUUGUGCCUACCGUCUUGCACGGAAGGGCGCUGCGAUCUGGAUCUUUUACUUUGAAAAAAUUAGAGUGUUCCAAGCAAGCAUCUGCUUGAAUACAUUAGCAUGGAAUAAUAAUAUAGGACUUCUGUUCUAUUUUGUUGGUUUCUAGAACCGAAGUAAUGAUUGAUAGGGAUCGUUGGGGGUGCUAGUAUUCAGCGGCCAGAGGUGAAAUUCUUGGAUUCGCUGAAGACUAACUACUGCGAAAGCAUUCACCAAGGAGGUCUUCUUUA
rnacentral:rRNA from 1 species